rnacentral:lncRNA from 1 species
CUGCCAGCUGUCGGUGGGGCGUGGGUGGCCUGAACACAGGCUCCCCCUCCGCGCUGUCUUCUCCGAGACCUUCAUCUGCCUGCUCUGCUCUUGACCACCUCGCCCUCCUGGAGGCUUCCCGCAGCCACACUGCCACCCUGCAAGUAUUUGAAUUCACGACCCCAGACCUUGGCCUCACGGUCAGUCUGCAGCUCGUGUGCUGAUGUGCGUCCAUGCGGAACAGCACGCUUCUUACCCUGAAGUGCUGCCUGAGACCCCCAGGUCUCACCGGGGCACGCACACCCGUGGACCUCAGUCUCACUGACCCGUGCUCCCUCACCUGGGGUGAAGACUUCAGCCCUGGGCACAGUCCUCCUGAAGGUCACAGAGACCUCCAGCUUCCUCUCUCUCGCCCACAGCUGGUGUCUGCACAGCUGCUGCCCGCCUGACGGUGCCCUUGCUUACGCAGUUCCUCACCUACCCACCCCGGGGCUGGGGGCCUCCGUGGGAAAGCUGAUGUCUGUCUUGGUGGUUCUCUCCGGGUGCCCCUCAAGUUCCCAUCCUUGUGUGUCUGAGGUCUGUCGGGUUCUCUCCAGGUCUCGUUUCGUGAGAGCAACUUGGUGUGCUGUGCAGAAGUGCCAAGAGGACUUCCUUCCUUCUCACUCUGGCUCAUGCUUUGCCUGGCCUCAAAGUAGCUGUGUAUGUCUUCCCAUUCCACAGCUGGCUGCAUCCUCUCCUCCACGGGCCUCCGUGGGGUAGACGGGGGGCCCAUUCCUAACACAAACACUUGGCUGUCCUCCCCAUCCCAGGGUCCUCCCCCCACAUCCCAGGCUCCCUCAAACCUCCUUUCUCCACCAAAAUUUCUUGCGAACCUCUACUCAUGCAAGUUGACUUCUCAGUGGCCAAUCCAACAGUCCUGUCUGGACAAACUGAAUGACAAGAGCCGAGAUUUAUUGAGCCAGACGCUGUUCUAACCACGUCACGUGAACUGAGCCACUGAAUCCUCCCAACGGCCCUGUGAGCCGGGUGCUCCCAGGAUCGCUACACUUUAUGCACAUGGAAACCAGCUCCGAGCACCUCAGAGACUCGUUCCAGGUCCCACGCCCCGUCGGUUAUAGAGGCAGUCUUCA